rnacentral:rRNA from 1 species
UACGGAGGAUGCGAGUGUUAUCCGGAUUUAUUGGGUUUAAAGGGAGCGCAGACGGGUCGUUAAGUCAGCUGUGAAAGUUUGGGGCUCAACCUUAAAAUUGCAGUUGAUACUGGCGUCCUUGAGUGCGGUUGAGGUGUGCGGAAUUCGUGGUGUAGCGGUGAAAUGCUUAGAUAUCACGAAGAACUCCGAUUGCGAAGGCAGCACACUAAGCCGUAACUGACGUUCAUGCUCGAAAGUGUGGGUAUCAAACAGG